CCUCUUGGAGAUGAGGAGUUUAGCACCCACGUGCUCAAUGGUCUUGAUGAUGAUUAUGACAAUCUCGUCGAGAAUAUUCAUGGUCGUGAGGCGCCACUUCCGCCACGAGAGCUAUAUGCACAUCUUCUUGGUCGUGAGC
rfam:Triticum urartu cultivar G1812 contig351496, whole genome shotgun sequence.